rnacentral:snRNA from 1 species
AUGCCUUUCUCAGCCUUUUGGCUAAGAUCAAGUGUAGUAUAUGUUCUUAACAGUUUAGUAACAAAACUAAUAAAGUCAAUAUCGGACUUCAAGUCGUAUAUAUUGCAUCAUUGCAUGACAUCUUAGGGGCUGUUUGUUUACCUCUUAAUGAGGCUCUUAAUGGUUCAGACUGUUUGUUUCACGAGCAGAUAUCUGAAUGGUUCAGACAUU